rnacentral:rRNA from 1 species
CAAUAGCGUAUAUUAAAGUUGUUGCGGUUAAAAAGCUCGUAGUUGGAGUUCUGCCAGGUGCCGUCUGUCCGCCCCAGUGGUGAGUACGUGACGCGCAUUUGGCCCUUUCAAGGGGAGCGUAUCUGCACUUUACUGUGUGGUGCGGGAUCCUUGACUUUUACUUUGAGGAAAUAGGAGUGUUCCAAGCAGGCUCUCGUCGUGCACAGCUCAGCAUGGAAUAAUAGCAUUGGACCUCGAUUCUAAGCUGUUGGUUGCCAGAAGCGAGGUAAUGAUGAAGAGGGAUAGUUGGGGGCAUUCGUAUUUAACUGUCAGAGGUGAAAUUCUUGGAUUUGUUGAAGACGGACUACUGCGAAAGCAUCUGCCAUGGAUGUUUUCAUUGA